rnacentral:rRNA from 1 species
UACGGAGGGUGCGAGCGUUGUCCGGAAUCACUGGGCGUAAAGGGCGCGUAGGCGGCCUGGUAAGUAGGGGGUGAAAUCCUGCGGCUUAACCGCAGGGCUGCCUUCUAAACUGUCAGGCUUGAGCACGGUAGAGGCAGAUGGAAUUCCCGGUGUAGCGGUGGAAUGCGUAGAGAUCGGGAAGAACAUCAGUGGCGAAGGCGGUCUGCUGGGCCGUUGCUGACGCUGAGGCGCGACAGCGUGGGGGAGCAAACAGG